AAACUGUGAUGAAAGUAUCUUAAUACAAUAUUGAUGAUACAAAGAAAGAGUUUUUUAACACUGAGUUAU
rfam:Alligator mississippiensis ScZkoYb_128, whole genome shotgun sequence.